rnacentral:rRNA from 1 species
UAAAACAACUUUUAACAACGGAUCUCUAGGCUCUCGUAUCGAUGAAGAACGUAGCAAAUUGCGAUAACUAUUGUGAAUUGCAUUUCGUGAAUCAUCAAGUUUUUGAACGCAUCUUGCACUCUGUGGUAUUCCGCAGAGUACACUUGUUUCAGUAUCAUA